GGAUGGUUGUCCGAGCGGCCGAAGGAACUGGUCUUGAAAACCAGAGGGCGGCGACCCCGUCCCGGGGGUUCAAAUCCCCCACCAUCCGCCA
rnacentral:tRNA from 1 species